rnacentral:lncRNA from 1 species
UCGAAGUUAAGUAUGCUCGAUCCUGAAAUUGUAUUGUUAUGGAUUUGUAACAGAAUGAGCUACAUCCAUGCCGCGUCUCCAAGAUCAUGACGCAAAUUCCGGAAUAUGAUUGUACGAUUUUGUACUAAGCGAUUAUAAGACAGCUGUACAAAUAAUAUUCCAUAUUGUAAAUAUAAAUGUACCUUAGUUAGAAUUCCCGUAUUAUAUAAAGGGCAUCCCAAUUAUUUGUACCAUCAUCUGAUCAUUGGCAAAGAUAUAAUCUCUACUUUUCGCUUACUAUUCAUUAGAAUUGUCCUUUC